rnacentral:rRNA from 1 species
GACGAACGCUGGCGGCGUGCCUAAUACAUGCAAGUCGAGCGGACUUUCAAGAAGCUUGCUUUUUGAAAGUUAGCGGCGGACGGGUGAGUAACACGUGGGCAACCUGCCUGUAAGACGGGGAUAACUCCGGGAAACCGGGGCUAAUACCGGGUAAUAUCUUUCUUCGCAUGAAGGAAGGUUGAAAGGCGGCGCAAGCUGCCGCUUGCAGAUGGGCCCGCGGCGCAUUAGCUAGUUGGUGAGGUAACGGCUCACCAAGGCGACGAUGCGUAGCCGACCUGAGAGGGUGAUCGGCCAAACUGGGACUGGGACACGGCCCAGACUCCUACGGGAGGCAGCAGUAGGGAAUCUUCCGCAAUGGACGAAAGUCUGACGGAGCAACGCCGCGUGAGCGAAGAAGGUCUUCGGAUCGUAAAGCUCUGUUGUCAGGGAAGAACAAGUACCGUUCGAAUAGGGCGGUACCUUGACGGUACCUGACCAGAAAGCCACGGCUAACUACGUGCCAGCAGCCGCGGUAA